rnacentral:rRNA from 1 species
GACGAACGCUGGCGGCGUGCUUAACACAUGCAAGUCGAACGGUAAGGCCCCUUCGGGGGUACACGAGUGGCGAACGGGUGAGUAACACGUGGGUGAUUUGCCCUGCACUCUGGGAUAAGCCUGGGAAACUGGGUCUAAUACCGGAUAUGAGCUCCUGUCGCAUGGCGGGGGUUGGAAAGGUUUACUGGUGCAGGAUGGGCCCGCGGCCUAUCAGCUUGUUGGUGGGGUAAUGGCCUACCAAGGCGACGACGGGUAGCCGGCCUGAGAGGGCGACCGGCCACACUGGGACUGAGACACGGCCCAGACUCCUACGGGAGGCAGCAGUGGGGAAUAUUGCACAAUGGGCGAAAGCCUGAUGUAGCGACGCCGCGUGAGGGAUGACGGCCUUCGGGUUGUAAACCUCUUUCAGCAGGGACGAAGCGAGAGUGACGGUACCUGCAGAAGAAGCACCGGCCAACUACGUGCCAGCAGCCGCAGUAAAAC